GGAAUAUUGGUCAAUGGCCGGAAGGCUGAACCAGCCAAGUCGCGUGAGGGAAUAAGGCCCUACGGGUCGUAAACCUCUUUUGUCAGGGAGCAAGGCCGCCCACGUGUGGACGGAAGGAGAGUACCUGGAGAAAAAGCAUCGGCUAACUCCGUGCCAGCAGCCGCGGUAAUACGGAGGAUGCGAGCGUUAUCCGGAUUUAUUGGGUUUAAAGGGUGCGUAGGCGGCCUGCCAAGUCAGCGGUAAAAUUGCGGGGCUCAACCCCGUACAGCCGUUGAAACUGACGGUCUUGAGUGGGCGAGAAGUAUGCGGAAUGCGUGGUGUAGCGGUGAAAUGCAUAGAUAUCACGCAGAACUCCGAUUGCGAAGGCAGCAUACCGGCGCCCAACUGACGCUGAAGCACGAAAGCGUGGGUAUCGAAC
rnacentral:rRNA from 1 species